rnacentral:rRNA from 1 species
AGGAAUAUUGGACAAUGGAGGCAACUCUGAUCCAGCCAUGCCGCGUGAAGGAAUAAGGCCCUAUGGGUUGUAAACUUCUUUUAGACGGGACAAAACCCCUUUACGUGUAAAGGGUUGAUGGUACUGUCAGAAUAAGCAUCGGCUAACUUCGUGCCAGCAGCCGCGGUAAUACGAAGGAUGCAAGCGUUAUCCGGAAUUAUUGGGUUUAAAGGGUGCGUAGGCGGACUAAUAAGUCAGUGGUGAAAGCCUGCAGCUUAACUGCAGAAUUGCCAUUGAUACUGUUAGUCUUGAGUACAGUUGAGGUAGGCGGAAUGUGUCAUGUAGCGGUGAAAUGCUUAGAUAUGACACAGAACACCGAUUGCGAAGGCAGCUUGCUAAGCUGUAACUGACGCUGAGGCACGAAAGCGUGGGGA